UGAGUCUUUUGGUUAUUUUGAUUUCUUUUGGUAUACUUUCCAUUUUUAGUUUUCUUAACUUCUACUCAUAUAAUGUAAGUCUUUGUACGCUACAACAGAACAACAAAAAUGACAUAUUAAGAUAGUUGUAUAUAUUCCAAAUUGAAAGAAUGGAAGAAAAAACGUUCAUAAAAGGUUAAAAUGCCCGUUUUUUUGCAAAGCCCAACCUCAAGAACGCCUCUUUCAAGGACUCCAAACGUGCCCGCCUUUUUCUUUCAUUUCUCGGAUUCAAAUUUUCUCAACAAAUUCUCCCAAUUUCUCCUUCAAAUUCUUCAAUCAAUUCACAUAUAAUUUUGCACGUCUUUUCUUCAAUCCUCCAGAACUGGACUUCCUCCACUUUCUUCUUUCUCCUUUCCCUAACCCUAACUUUUCUUUUUCCUCUUUCUUCUUCCAAUUCCAAAGCCAAUCAGAGCUUCGUCCGAAAGUUGCACCCAAAGAGGGCUUCUAUCCUCUGCCAUUUCAAUCGUUACCCAAAUGAAAUCAACGUGAGUAGUUUCUUUUCUUCUUAUUUUGCCUUUUUAUGUCAUUUUCCUUCAACCCCUUUUGGGGUUUUUCAAUUGGAUUUUUCUAAUUUUGCUGUUUCAUGGGGUUUUACCUCUGAUUUGUGGAGUUUCGAGGUUUGCAAGAGUUUCAUCAACUUAUUUUACAAUUUAUCUCUACUUAUUGCUUGUUUAAAUUUAUUGUACUGUUUAUUGUCUUGAUGUCUUCGCAAAAACAACUUCAAUGAUUAUAACUAUUUUCUUAA